rnacentral:lncRNA from 1 species
GUUAUUGUGGUCAAGGUUGUUGUAGAUUGAAGGGUCCAUAUGCAUAUAGUUUGGAUUAAAAGUUUUGUGGUCAGGGUUGUUGUAGAUAGAAAGGUCUGUAUCCAUAUAGUUUGGAUUAGAAGUUUUGGUCAGGGUUUAAAGUUAUGUGGUCAGGAGGAGUAGUGAUGUGGUCGAGAAGAGGAUAUACGAUUGAUCAUUACCCAUUCUCAUCACAAAUUCUCUUCAUAAAUUUCAAUGAAACUCCCCAGACAUGAAAAAGAUAUGUGCUAGUUUGAAGAACUUCAGUCCUUAAAGAAGUGAUGUGUACCCAAGUGAACAGUCCAAGAGGACCGGA